rnacentral:lncRNA from 1 species
CCCUCUCUACACUAUAAUAUAAUUUAUUUAUUUAUAAUUUCGGCCAAAAAUUAUUAUAGCAGCAACUAAAAUAUAUUUUCCAGCAGACCCAUCACCGUGAAACCCAUUUCUGCCGACCACUGCACCCUCACCCCAAACUCCGGCGUUCGCUGAUCCCGCCACGAUGGAGCUCUCGUGGGACCUGAGGCGGGCGCGGUCACCACUGAUGGCGGCCCCGAUCCAUUUGCCGAGUACGUCAUCGUCGUGGCGGUGGAAGGCGAGAUGCUACUCGUCGCCAUCUGUCUCGUCGAUUAGGCAUACAGAAAGAGCAAAGCCGCAAGCGAUCGAGAAGAGCUCAUGGAACCUAACCGUGCUAUCGGGGAGGAAUCGCGUGCGUAGUCUCGGGGGACUCCGACAGC